rnacentral:rRNA from 1 species
GACGAACGCUGGCGGCGUGCUUAACACAUGCAAGUCGAACGGACAGGCGCUGCGCUUGCGGGGCGCUCGAGUGGGGAACGGGUGAGUAACACGCGUGUAACCUGCCCCUGUCUUUGGGGUAACUUCAGGAGACAGGGGCUAAUACCGGGUAGGAGCUCUUGCUGCGUGGUGGGGGUUGGAAAGUUUCGGCGGUUGGGGAUGGACUCGCUGCUUAUCCGCUUGUUUGUGGGGUAGUGGCUUACCAAGGUUUUGACGGGUAGCCGGCCUGAGAGGGUGACCGGGCACAAGAGGACUGAGAGACGGCGCAGAAUCCAACGGGAGGCAGCAGUGGGGAAUAUGGCACAAUGGGCGGAAGCCAGAGGCAGCAACGCCGCGUGCGGGAUGACGGGCUUCGGGUUGUAAACCGCUGUCGACUGUGACGAAGAGUGAGUGACGGUAAUGGGUAAGGAAGCACCGGCUAACUACGUG